rnacentral:rRNA from 1 species
UACGUAGGGUGCAAGCGUUGUCCGGAAUCACUGGGCGUAAAGGGAGUCUAGGCGGUUUGGUAAGUGGGAUGUGAAAUGCCCGGGCUCACCCCGGGACCUGCAUCCCAAACUGCCGUGCUCGAGUGUGGGAGAGGUGAGUGGAAUUCCCGGUGUAGCGGUGAAAUGCGUAGAUAUCAGGAGGAACACCGGUGGUGUAGACGGCUUUCUGGACCGUAACUGACGCUGAGACACGAAAGCGUGGGUAGCAAACAGG